AAUCAACGCUGGCGGCGUGCCUCAGACAUGCAAGUCGAACGAGAAGGCUCCUUCGGGAGCCGGAAAGUGGCGCACGGGUGAGUAACACGUGGGUAAUUUACCUUCGGUGGGAACAACAGCCGGAAACGGCUGCUAAUACCGCAUAACGUAGCGGCACCUAAUGGUGACAGUUGUUAAAGCGGGGGAUCGCAAGACCUCGCGCCUGAAGAGAAGCCUGCGGCAGAUUAGGUAGNGGUGAGGUAAUGGCUCACCAAGCCCGCGAUCUGUAGCCGGCCUGAGAGGGCGGUCGGCCACACUGACACUGAACAACGGGUCAGACUCCUACGGGAGGCAGCAGUCGGGAAUUUUGGGCAAUGGGCGCAAGCCUGACCCAGCAACGCCGCGUGAAGGAUGAAGUUUUUCGGAAUGUAAACCUCACAAGAAUGGGAAGAAUAAGUUUCAGCUAACACCUGAAGCGAUGACGGUACCAUUUGUAAGCUCCGGCUAACUCCGUGCCAGCA
rnacentral:rRNA from 1 species